rnacentral:piRNA from 1 species
GAUUAAUCCAUUGGUGUGGUUCAAG